rnacentral:rRNA from 1 species
GGGCCCGCACAAGCGGUGGAGCAUGUGGUUUAAUUCGAUGGUACGCGAGGAACCUUACCUAGGCUUAAAUGUAGAUUGACGUAUUGGGAAACCAGUAUUUCUUCGGACAAUUUACAAGGUGCUGCAUGGUUGUCGUCAGCUCGUGCUGUGAAGUGUCGGGUUAAGUCCCAUAACGAGCGCAACCCCUAUCAUUAGUUGCUAACAUUUAGUUGAGGACUCUAGUGAAACUGCCCGCGCAAGCGUGGAGGAAGGUGGGGAUGACGUCAAAUCAUCACGGCCCUUACGUCUAGGGCUACACACGUGCUACAAUGGUGAAUACAGAGGGAAGCCAGCUGGUAACAGUGAGCAAAUCCAUAAAAUUCAUCUCAGUUCGGAUUGAGGUCUGCAACUCGACCUCAUGAAGCUGGAAUCGCUAGUAAUCGU